GUGCUCACCUCAGCAGCACACAUAUUAAAAUUGGAAAGACACAAAGAAGAUUAGCAUGGCCUUUUCAUAAGGGUGAAAUGCACAUUUGUGAAACACUUCAUAUUUUU
ensembl:snRNA U6 U6 spliceosomal RNA